UGGGCGGAGGAGGAGGAAGAGGAGGAGGGGAAAGCGUUGGCAGGAGCUGGCUGGGUGCGGGGGGGACGCGAGCAGCGGCACGGUGCGCGCAGGCAGCGGCGGGCACGAGCCCCACGCCUGGAGGAGGAGGAGCCAGGCCCGAAAGGAGGGCUAACGAGGUUCUCGGCAACGCAGGGACGCCCCCCUACCCCCGCCCAGAUACCGGGUAACCGCCCACCGCCCGCCGCCCGCCGGGCACCUGCCAGGGCACAUCCCCAAGCGGCGGCGAGCGCCUCUCCCCGUGCCUACGCCGCGCCGGAGGAGCGGAGCCCACUCGCCGCCCGGGACUGCGCCCCGCGGCCGCCCUCAGGGACUCCCUGGAGGCCCCGAGGUUCCAGGGGGCUGCUGGUGGGUGCUGGUGCGGCUUCGGGGACGCGGUGUGUUUGUGCGGCCCUAGAUCCCCGGUACCUCUCCCUGCCGCCCGCCCCCCAGCGUGCCCUGGCUCCGGAGCGACGUGGCUGCCGAGGAGAGGCGAUAAAAUCCAAACGUGCAACUUGAACAACAACAAAAAGAGAGACAUUUUCCUCUUGGUACUGCAGGUAAGACAGAACGUUAUGCAUAUCCUUCUGAAGCAAAGCAGAACGGGUGUUUGUCUCUUCAAGAAGUUGUAAUAAAUGGUAGACAUUUUAAACGAAAAAACAAAAAGUAUGCUGAUAUGUUUCUGUCCUUUUGCAUUCAGAGUCAAUAUAUGCCAAACACUUCAAUUUUGUUAGAUAUGAACCCAAAUUCAGAUAUUUUUCCUAGAUGGUACAGUUUUCAUAACAGGCACUUCUAAUCGCCGGUAAAUUUUAGCUUUGCUUUGAAGAUUAUGUGAGGACAAUAAAACCUUUACAUUGCAAAUUUUUCAAGCUGUUCUUUUUAACCUAUUAAUCACCACUUUCUAAAUGAGCAUUUAAUAAGCUACAACCUAAACAAACAUUUGCUCUACUUAGCUGCCUCUGUGAAGAAUGGAACACCACCCAGCUUUCUCCUCCAUCAUUAAUAUUCCCUUCCUGACUUGCCCACUGCAGAGUCUAAUUGAAAUUCACAAAGAUAAAGGCAUGCCAUUUAAAACCUUGCAACUAGGGAAUCUAAACAUCUUCUACUUAGUGUGAACACUUCACUUCCUACUGUAUUUUCCUAUUUUCCAUUUCUAUGAGUCAAUCUUUAUUAAGAUCUCUAACACUUCGCCAUUUAUAUUACUACUAAGUUGUUUAUAUUUUGAUAAUGAAAGUUGAACAGCCCAUGGUUUCUUCCCAACCUUAAUUGCUAUGCUAGAAAAUUUCUCCUUCAUGGAUGUACAAUUUUUGUAAAUAUCUUCAUAGAUUAUUUGCUUACCACUAUAGUCUUUUCCUUGGGUGCUAAUGACGAAUUAUGGAUUGUAGCUUUAAUUGUUUUAUCUCAAAAUUUGUAUUUAUUGGAAUUUGUUCUCAAAAAAAAACCCUCUACCAUUAGCACCCUUAAUAAAUUUGUAAUCUCACUGCCGUAUGACCCGUUUAUGUGGAAGUUCACAAAGUUCAAGCUGUUUUGGAUGAUUUUCACCGUUUGCUUUUUAAAAAACUAUGUUAGAACAAUCUAUAGAUUUAGAUAUACACUUACUUGAGAGAGACUCAGUAAAAGCUAGAUUCAAAAAAUUCAUUAUAAAACCAUGAUUUUUAGUUCUUCCCCACAAAAUGCUUUGCAAUUUUAUUGAAGCCGGAUAGCUGUGAUUUAAACUUCAAAGUACAUUAAAGGAAAUGGAAAUCAGAAAAGCCGAUUGCAAGCACCGGACCUCCACUUUUAUUGCUAUAUCUUCACUGAUAUUUCGCUGUGUUACUAGUCCAGUCAAAUUUCUUCUAGGAUUGUCCAGCUUCCACAAAUAUCUGAAAAAUCCAGCCUGAUAUCCUUCUUUCCUCUCUGUGAUGGAGUGCAGCGAACUGCCUGUGAUUUGAGAGCCAGCCUGCGUAGGUCAUGACUAAGCUCUUCCUACCCACUCCUUGUGGAGCAGGUCCUAAGGCAACCAAUCCUGUAGAAGAACUGACAACUAGUCGAUUACCAGUAAAUCCAAUCCCACCCAGGCUAAAGCAGUGCAAAACCUUCUGUUUGAACAUGUUUGAAUUACUCUCCCACAAAUUGGAUUUAGGGGGGCGUCACUUCUUAUAUAGUUCCCAUCCCUAACAACCAAGUCCCUAAGGAGAUUUCCACAUGAGGACCAAGAAAAAAAGAAAAUGAAGAAUUGGGAGAUCAUGAUUUUGUCUCCUGAUAUCUCACAAUAUUGUAUAGUUUUAAAAUUCAUUUAAAAUUUAAAAUUCACAAAACUGUUCGUGUUUUUUAGCAGAUAUUUUGUAGAGCUUCCUUUUUU
ensembl:lncRNA